GUCAGCGCUCUCAGGAGGCCGACAAUUUUGUUGAAGAAAGAAGUGGAAGAAAAAAAUACAACCGUGACGAGUUUGGGAAAGAUUUUACUGUGAAAGCUUCCCUAAAAAUGCAUCAGGUCAUCCACACCGGAGAGAGACCAUUCAGCUGUGGAGACUGUGGAAAGUCUUUUACCACGUCUGGACACUUAAAAACACACCAACUAAUCCACACUGGAGAGAGACCGUUCAGCUGUGACGAGUGUGGAAAGUCUUUUACCCAGUCUGGAAGCUUAAAAACACACCAACUCAUCCACACUGGAGAGAGACCAUUCACCUGUGAAGAGUGUGGAAAGUCUUUUACCCACUCUGGAAGCUUAAAAACACACCAACUAAUCCACACUGGAGAGAGACCGUUCAGCUGUGGAGACUGUGGAAAGUCUUUUACCACGUCUGGAAGCUUAAAAACACACAAACUCAUCCACAGUGGAGAGAGACCGUUCAGCUGUGGAGACUGUGGAAAGUCUUUUAGCACGUCUGGAAACUUAAAAAAUCACAAACUCAUCCACAGUGGAAAGAGACCGUUCAGCUGUGGAGACUGUGGAAAGUCUUUUACCAAGUCUGAAAACUUAAAAACACACAAACUCAUCCACAGUGGAGAGAGACCAUUCAGCUGUGACGAGUGUGGAAAGUCUUUUACCCACUCUGGAAGCUUAAAAACACACCAACUCAUCCACACUGGAGAGAGACCGUUCAGCUGUGACGAGUGUGGAAAGUCUUUUAUCCACUCCGGAAACUUAAAAACACACCAACUCAUCCACACCAGAGAGAGACCGUUCAGCUGUGGAGACUGUGGAAAGUCUUUUACCCUCUUUGGAAACUUAAAAACACACCAACUAAUCCACACUGGAGAGAGACCAUUCACCUGUGACGAGUGUGGAAAGUCUUUUACGCACUCUGGAAGCUUAAAAACACACCAACUAAUCCACACUGGAGAGAGACCGUUCAGCUGUGGAGACUGUGGAAAGUCUUUUGCCCACUCUGGAAGCUUAAAAAAACACCAACUCAUCCACACUGGAGAGAGACCGUUCAGCUGUGACGAGUGUGGAAAGUCUUUUACCGAGUCUGGAAGCUUAAAAAAACACCAACUCAUCCACACUGGAGAGAGACCGUUCAGCUGUGGAGACUGUGGAAAGUCUUUUACCGAGUCUGGAAACUUAAAAUCACAUCAACUCAUCCACAGUGGAGUUAAAGCGUACACCUGUGAUCAGUGUGGCAGAGCUUUUACUCACAGUAAGAGCUUACACAGUCAUCUAGUUACCCACUCUGGAAUUAAGGCGUACAGCUGUGACAUUUGUGGAAAAACUUUCAGCCGGAUAGGGAGCCGAAAUACACACCUACGCAUUCACACCAGACAUGAUGUGUACAGCUGUGAUCAGUGUGGUAAACAGUUUACCACAAACACAGAUUUACGACGUCACAUGUUUACCCACACUGAGGAACGACCUUAUAAAUGUGACCUGUGUGAGAAGACUUUUAAAUCUCCACGUUACCUGAAAGCACACCAACAGAUCCACACCAGAAAGACUCUACAAGUGCAGUUACUGUGAGGUGGACAGAUUUGGGAUCCAGGUCGCUGCGAGUCCACAUCACUGUGGAGCUGUCAGAGUCAGACUGAUAUCAGCACGAUCCUAUUGGAAAACUAUCAGUCACACCAAAAGUGCCCGUGUCGCAAAGUCGACUUAAGGAGCGG